AGCUGAAUCAUCUCAAAUGGAAAAUUAUAGAAUGUUGGGUCAAGUGUCGAAAACAGAGUAGCAGAAACAGGGGAUCCACAAGACUUGGUGGAGUUCCCAUAUUUCUGAACCACCCAUUUUCUGCACCAGAAUUUGGAGAAUAGCAAGCAAAAUAAAACAUCUUAUUUAGAAAUUUCAAGGAAAAGACUUUUCCUGAUUUGCUACGAAAUUAGAGCCCCUCAAAAUGACACAGCAUGGUUUUUAAUUUUUGCCUGCAAGAGAUUCUCUAUCACAGACUCUCGCCAUCUUUUAAUUGCAAAAUGCAGAGAAAAAUGGAGUUUUGAAAAAAAAAAAACUGGCAUCUUGGAAUCAGAGCUUAGGAAGCAAACACAACCAUUUGGUGUGAUGUUCUAUUCUGCAAUAAUAUGUCCUCUUGAUCUAAAGUCCGUAUUGUAUUUAUUUUUAUUGUACUUUAAAUUUAUUUUGUGCGAAGAGCCCUCUCAAUUAUGUAAUUUGCAAAGUUAUUCUCCUUUUGUUUCCCAAAUUUUCAACUUUACUAGUAUGUUUAGUUUAGUUAUCUGAAAUGGGCAUCAGGAUUAUUCUGCU